GCCCAUGGGAGAUGCUGCUCGGGGCUGGCCUGGUGGUGCCGAUACUCGCCUCUCGCAGAGGCUCCAGGCAAGUCCCAGAGAAGGUGAGGCUCCCUGGGAGCCUUCACGCAGGAGAACAAAAGAAAGCCCGGUGUUCCCGCUCCUCACAUAAGAAGCAUCAGGCUCACAGCCUCAUCACCUGAGGUCACGGGAACUGUUUGUCUCCCAUGCUCCAGCAACACCCACUUGCCAAGUUUUUGCUUCCUAUGGAUAUUUAUUCACCAUCUAAUGCAGACCAACUGGCAAGACUCAAGAGAAAGCUGUACACAAGGAAAAGAAAAGAAGAUGAUAGAGGAAAAUAAGAUAAUAAAGGAAAGAAGUAUUCGUGGCGGCAAACGUAGGAUGUGGGUAUAUUCACAGAUGUGAGUGUUGUCGUGACAAAGGAAAAGUCAGGCCUGUGGAAGAGAAAUACCAUUGAAAAACUGUCCUGGUCAAACUUCCACCAAAAAGUACAGUAUGGGGAGAGAGAAACUGCCUCCCUCACUCAACUUCCCUGUUUUGAUUCACGGAAUGAUCAUCGCCUCUGCCCCUCGCCGGAAACCUUACGAGGCUUCUCCAAGGUUUCCCAUCCACUGUCAAUCACUUGGUUGUGUCUGAAUUGUUCUUCAAAAUGAUUCCUCUGUUGUAUUCUUUGCUUUCAUUUCCAUUCUUGUCCAGCUGCUUGUCUCUAAA
rnacentral:lncRNA from 1 species